GAGCCACUGCUAAUGGGUACGAGGUUUCUUCUUGGUACAAGCCAAGAUCCAACUCAGAAGACUAGAAAAUGAACAACCCAGCAAACUUAGGAGAUGGGGAAGGAAGGGAAUUCGGAAGGUGAUAGCUGCAAGCAUCGGCAGAACUUCUACGUUCUGUCCUCCUGCAGCCAUCUAAAGUCAGCCAGAAAGGUUUAGGAUCCCAUUUCCUGUUCUUGCAUCUGCUGUCCAAGCUGCUGUUCCUCUCUCUGCAGUAAGAGGGUGUUUCUCUCCCUAUUCAAGAGGAGCGCCAACACUUGAGACAGUAUCAUCCCUAGACCUCGGCAAGAGAGACCACUGAGUGAGGCAUCCAUGGAACCCAAGGAAGAGGCAUAUGAAGAACCUGCAGUCACCUUCUAGACCAUUCUCCCUCACCAAACUGUCCCCUCCAGAGAGCUGAGGACUGGAUCUUCACAUGCUGACACCUCCAUUGGGAAAGAAAAUUCUAGAUUCAGCUCUGGGUGUCCAAGUCAUUAUGAAGGCAUAUUUGUCAAGGUGGAAGAAAAGGACAUAUUCUAUUUAGCAGUUUUGCAGACUGAGCCUGGCCAGGUCCCUGCUUGUCCUGAGACGAUGAGAGGAGGCAUGAUGUGGCCAUGGAGUGCCGGAGCUGCCAGGAGCGUCACCUUCACCUGGCCCCUCACUAGCUGUCUGCUGUCUUCUUACAAUGCUGGCGUGUCUAAGAAGUAAUGCAUGACUCUGAUUUGCGGCUGCAGGAUAAAUCCGAACUAUUUCAGGGAGAUGUCAUGGAGAGCUCAUCUCUCAGCAUCAAAGUUGCCUCUCCUGACUUUUAAAUUUUAA
rnacentral:lncRNA from 1 species